rnacentral:rRNA from 1 species
GCAAGUCGAACGGUAGCAGGAAGUGCUUGCACUUUGCUGACGAGUGGCGGACGGGUGAGUAAUACUUAGGGAUCUGCCUUUGAGUGGGGGAUAACUAUUGGAAACGAUAGCUAAUACCGCAUAACGUUUACGGACCAAAGGGGGCUUCGGCUCUCGCUCAAAGAGGAACCUAAGCGAGAUUAGCUUGUUGGUGAGGUAAUGGCUUACCAAGGCGACGAUCUCUAGCUGGUUUGAGAGGAUGAUC